ensembl:snRNA U6 U6 spliceosomal RNA
GUGCUCACUUCGGCAGCACAUAUACUAAAAUUGGGACAAUACAGAGAAGAUUAGCAUGGCCCCUGCACAAGGAUGACACACAAAUUCAUGAAGCAUUUCAUAUUUUU